rnacentral:rRNA from 1 species
GAUGAACGCUGGCGGCGUGCCUAAUACAUGCAAGUCGAGCGAACAUACGAGGAGCUUGCUCCUCUGACGUUAGCGGCGGACGGGUGAGUAACACGUGGAUAACCUACCUAUAAGACUGGGAUAACUUCGGGAAACCGGAGCUAAUACCGGAUAAUAUAUUUAACCGCAUGGUUCAAUAGUGAAAGACGGUUUUGCUUUCACUUAUAGAUGGAUCCGCGCCGCAUUAGCUAGUUGGUAAGGUAACGGCUUACCAAGGCAACGAUUCGUAGCCGACCUGAGAGGGUGAUCGGCCACACUGGAAAUGAGACACGGUACAGACUCCAACGGGAGGCAGCAGUAGGGAAUCUUCCGCAGUGGGCGAAAGCCUGACGGAGCAACGACGAGUGAGUGAUGAAGGUCGUCGGAUCGUAAAACGCUGUUAUUAGGAAAGAAAAAAUGUGUAAGUAACUAUGCACGUCUUGACGGUACAUAAUCAGAAAGCCACGGCUAACUACGA